GAGCGGCUGAAAUGCACACCGUUUCUGCUCAUAACAGCGCAGUGCGGUUUUGUAAAGUAGUCCGGUUGGCAUAACUCCGCUUCAUUUCGGUUUACUAUUUAGUGUCUACGAAGAAACGACUUGCAAUUUAGAGUUUUAUCCUUCACUCUUUGGGUUCUGUUUUGGGACAUUAGUUAACUGCAAAUUUGGAGGUUUUAAACAGUUAUAAAGAUAUUAAGGUGUUUUCAAUCCACCAGGGUUCUACCGGGGCUCUGCCUGGAUCGACCUGGGCUCUGCCUGGAUCAACCAGGGCUCUGCCUGGGUCAACCGAGGCUCUUCCAGCGUCAUCCGGCAACAACCGGGGAAGCUCCGGCAUGAAUCGUAGCUUCACCUGGGCUCUGCCUGGAUGAUCCAGAGCGCAUCCUGGGUGGUUAGUUGGGAACUACCGUAGUGCUGCCGGGGUCAUCCAACAUAGUUACAGUGAAGAUUCUCAACAUAGUUCAUUACAGUUUUAAAAGUUUUUGAAUUUUAAAUAGAUAACCAUCCACAUGUUGGAGCCAUAUUCUUCAAGACCACAAUGAUAGGACACAUAGAUAUUUUAUCUAUUUGCUGGUGAAUGUACUAAACUAUUGUUGGAAAUGAGGCAAAAUGUGUGACAUCUAUGUUCUAUUGAGCAGUAAAAAGAGGAUCAAUUUGUAUUAUCUGUACAGUAUUGGUCAAGAUAAAAAAAAAUUCAUUUGGGAUGGCAUGUGAGAAGUCAAUGACUUGUCUAUGUUUGACAGUAUGCCAAAAGUGAAUUAGUGAAAAAGCUGAAUACUGCAGUGGCAGAUUCAAUAGUAUUUUUACUUGAUUGUUAAACAAGUUUUGCAAGUUUAUAAAUCACUUUCUACUCAAUAACUGGAGGCAUAAGAGUAAACAUGAUUGAUGUUACCUUGUUUGGCUCAAACCCACAAACUGGAUGAGAACUUUGCAAGACUAGGUUGCCAAGUACAAAGACAUAAGUUAGCUGUCAUUUGUGAUUUUCCAUGUGUUUGCAAGAAUAUGGUUUUAAUAUCUGUAGAUGUUUCUAAAUUCAAAAUUUCACUGUUCUCAUAUUUAAAUGUUGAAUUCCGCUUAAGCAGGUGCUAGGGGGUUGGGUGGUAACUUACACUUUCCAUUACCGUCCAUGAACAAACUCAAUAAAACCGAGCCUGACACAUUGUCAAUUUUGUUGUUCUUGGCAUUCUUUGGGGAUUCUGUUCGUCUAUAUUUAAUAAUUGUUUAUAGAAAUUAUUUCAAUUAAAGAAUAUACUUAUAUGUUAAUUUAUUCAUAUUAUACAGUUUAAAAAAGACUGAAUAUGAUUACACAGUCAAUAUCUGUAACUGAAAAUAUAGUCAGGAAAAUAGUGUAAACUCUGAAAGACCUUUAAGGUUAUUGUGAAUAGAGAUAUUUAAUAUGGUUUACUUCUAUGAAAUGCCAUUAUUAUUUUUAAUUAUACAGUUUUUAUGCCACCGCAGCAUCUGUGAUGCGGUGGCAUAUAGCGAUUCAUCUGUGUGUGUGUUAUAUAGAUUAUAUAGUGAACUUAAAAAAUCUUCUUGUGAAAAACCAAUAGUCCAAUUUCAACCAAACUUGACAAGUUGUUCAAAGAAUUUCAUUCCAUGCAGAAAUCUGCUUGCCAUGGCAACCAAAAGGAAUUAUAAGGAUAAAUUUAAAAAUCUUCUUGUAAAGACCCACAAGGCCUAGAGCAUAGAUAUUUUGCAUAAGGCAUUGUCUGGUAGACCUCUACCAAGAUUGUUCAAAUUAUAGCCCUGGGGUCAAAAUUGGCCCGCCCCAGGGGUCAUUGAUUUUCACUAUAUGUACAUAUAGUAAAAACUUAAAAAACCUUCUUGUCUGAAAGUACAAGGCGUUUGGUAUAUGAUAUCAUCUAUAUGUACUCUACCAAAGUUUUCAAAUUUUGCCUCUAGUGUCAAAAUAAGCCCCGCCCUGGGGAUCAUAAUUUUUUGUGUCGCCUUGAAAAAGGGGACAUAUAGGGGUUACUUUUGUCGGCGGUGUCGGUGCGGUGUCCCCUUAAGCUUGUCCGGAGCAUAAGUCAGUCAUUAUAAGUAUUAUAAGUAAUUGACUUCAAACUUAGUAUGCAUGCUUCUUAUAAUGACCCGAAGUGCAAUGCACAAGAACUGGUACUCUGCAUUUCUUAUUUUUAGAGUUAUUGCCCUUAGUUAAUUUUCAUACUUUAUUUUUGUCCGGGCCAUUUCUCCUAAAGUAUAAAGUCUAUGGACUUGAAACUUCAUAGGAUGAUAGAUCUCAUUAAGAAGAAGUGCAGUGCACAAAAACUGGUACUCUGCACUUCUUAACCUCUAGCAAGAUUGUUCAAAUUAUAGCCCUGAGGUCAAAAUUGGCCCUGCCCCUGGGGAUCAUUGAUUUUCAGUCACUGUGUCAUAAAGUAAAAAAUUUAAAAUCUACUUGUCUGAAGGUACUAUUCUGAUAAUAACAAUUAGAUAGGUAAGUGAUCAAUGCAUUAUGGCAAUCUGUAUAGACACAAAAAAAUUGUGUUCCUACAUUAAUAUUUAGUGUCGUGGCUUGGCAUUUUUUACAAAUGCAAUCUUGUUUUGGCAUCAUUUUUGUUACCACGGCAACCAAAAUAUACACUUUUUUGUAAUCAUUGCAAUAAGGAAUGUAUAUGUUUUGCAUCGUAUUAAUAAUGUAUAUGCCACCAUGUUACAGCUAUGAGUUUUAUUGAGGACUUACUUAAGUAAUGAUAUUUUUAUUUAAGUGGCGGCGUGGCCCAGUGGUUAACGCGUCGGCCUAGUAAUCUAAGGAUUGCUGACCGCGUGGGUUCAAAUUCUGUCAGGGUCAAGUCGUUGUUUCCUUGAGCAAGAAACUUUACAUUCAUUGCUUAGUACUGGUUGGUUCCAGGAACGGAUUCGAGAGUGUUUCAAUAAGCUUAUAGCUUCCAACACAAUCAAACUAAAAUAAAUUUGUAUAAACCAAGUAAUGAUAUUCACCUUAAUCACAGAAAACUUACUGACAUUCUGAGAAUUUAAGACUUAAGUUUAUAUUCUGUUAUUUAAAACAUUUUUAAGGGAAGAAUGAAAAAUCUAUUUUUUUCUUUUUCUGAAAGGUCUUAAAUCUGGUUGUCUUUAAAUACAUUAAUUUGGUGAUGAAUUAAUCAUGUCAAAUGCAAUAAUGAUGUAUUUGAAGUAUUUUUUUUAUAUUUUUGUUGCCAUGGCAACCGAUUAUUGUUUUAUAGUUAUUUUAUAGUUUUUAUAUCAUUUAUUAUAUAUUUCAUACAUAGAUGAAUGAUAACUUUAUAUUUUGUUUAUUUUAUUAUUCAAAACUAUAGAAUAAUUUCUAGUUUAUAUAAUUAUACCAAUAAAAGUUUAAAA